rnacentral:rRNA from 1 species
UACGAAGGGUGCAAGCGUUAUUCGGAGUUACUGGGCGUAAAGAGCAUGUAGGCGGUUCUUUAAGUCGCUUGUUAAAUUUCCCGGCUUAACCGGGAAUCUGCGGGCGAUACUGGAGGGCUAGAGUGUAAGAGAGAGAAGUGGAAUUCUCGGAGUAGCGGUAAAAUGCGUAGAUCUCGAGAGGAACACCGAUGGCGAAGGCAGCUUCUUGGCUUACAACUGACGCUAAAGUGCGAAAGCGUGGGGAGCAAACAGGAUUAGAUACCCUGGUAGUCCACGCCGUAAACGAUGAUCACUGGAUAUGGGUUUUGCAUAGCAGAGCCUGUGUCGAAGCUAACGCGUUAAGUGAUCCGCCUGGGGAGUACGGUCGCAAGAUUAAAACUCAAAGAAAUUGACGGGGGUCCGCACAAGCGGUGGAACAUGUGGUUUAAUUCGACACUACGCGAGGAACCUUACCUGGGCUUGACAUGUAACUGCUACUGGUAGAAAUACUGGGUUUUGUAGAAAUACAGACGGUUACACAGGUGCUGCAUGGCUGUCGUCAGCUCGUGUCGUGAGAUGUUGGGUUAAGUCCUUUAACGAGCGCAACCCUUGUCGUCAGUUGCUAGUCUAGAAAUAGAAGCACUCUGGCGAGACUGCCGAGGAAACUCGGAGGAAGGUGGGGAUGACGUCAAGUCCUCAUGGCCCUUAUGUCCAGGGCGACACACGUGUUACAAUGGCGAGUACAAAGGGAUGCAAUACCGCGAGGUGGAGCAAAUCUCAUAAAAUUCGUCUAAGUUCAGAUUGCAGUCUGCAACUCGACUGCAUGAAGUUGAAAUCGCUAGUAAUCGCGCAUCAGAGGGGCGCGGUGAAUACGUUCUCGGACCU